rnacentral:rRNA from 1 species
UACAGAGGGUGCGAGCGUUGUUCGGAAUUACUGGGCGUAAAGCGCACGUAGGCGGCUUGGUAUGUCGGGUGUGAAAUCCCCGGGCUCAACCUGGGAACUGCAUCCGAAACUGCCUUGCUCGAGUAUGGGAGAGGGGAGUGGAAUUUCCGGCGUAGCGGUGAAAUGCGUAGAUAUCGGAAGGAACAUCAGUGGCGAUGGCGACUUCCUGGACCAAUACUGACGCUCAGGUGCGAAAGCGUGGGGAGCAAACAGG